rnacentral:rRNA from 1 species
UCGGGGUGCAGCAGGCGCGAAAACUUUACAAUGCUGGCAACAGCGAUAAGGGGACCUCGAGUGCCAGGAUACAAUCUUGGCUGUCGUAAUGCCUAAAAAGCAUUGCAUAGCAAGGGCCGGGCAAGACCGGUGCCAGCCGCCGCGGUAACACCGGCGGCUCGAGUGGUAACCGCUAUUAUUGGGUCUAAAGGGUCUGUAGCCGGCCGGAUAAGUCUUUUGGGAAAUCCAGCUGCUUAACAGUUGGGCUUUCAGAAGAUACUGUUCGGCUCGAGACCGGGAGAGGUGAGAGGUACUUCAGGGGUAGGGGUGAAAUCUUGUAAUCCUUGAAGGACCACCAGUGGCGAAGGCGUCUCACCAGAACGGAUCUGACGGCAAGGGACGAAAGCUAGGGGCACGAACCGGAUUAGAUACCCGGGUAGUCCUAGCCGUAAACGAUACUCGCUAGGUGUCAGCCACGGUGCGACCGUGGUUGGUGCCGUAGGGAAGCCGUGAAGCGAGCCACCUGGGAAGUACGGCCGCAAGGCUGAAACUUAAAGGAAUUGGCGGGGGAGCAC